rnacentral:rRNA from 1 species
UACGAAGGGGGCUAGCGUUGCUCGGAAUCACUGGGCGUAAAGCGCACGUAGGCGGAUUCUUAAGUCGGUGGUGAAAUCCUGGAGCUCAACUCCAGAACUGCCUUCGAUACUGAGAGUCUUCGAGUCCGGGAGAGGUGAGUGGAACUGCGAGUGUAGAGGUGAAAUUCGUAGAUAUUCGCAAGAACACCAGUGGCGAAGGCGGCUCACUGGCCCGGUACUGACGCUGAGGUGCGAAAGCGUGGGGAGCAAACAGG